rnacentral:rRNA from 1 species
AUUGAACGCUGGCGGCAGGCCUAACACAUGCAAGUCGAACGGUAACAGGAAGCAGCUUGCUGCUUUGCUGACGAGUGGCGGACGGGUGAGUAAUGUCUGGGAAGCUGCCUGAUGGAGGGGGAUAACUACUGGAAACGGUAGCUAAUACCGCAUAACGUCGCAAGACCAAAGAGGGGGACCUUCGGGCCUCUUGCCAUCGGAUGUGCCCAGAUGGGAUUAGCUAGUAGGUGGGGUAACGGCUCACCUAGGCGACGAUCCCUAGCUGGUCUGAGAGGAUGACUAGCCACACUGGAACUGAGACACGGUCCAGACUCCUACGGGAGGCAGCAGUGGGGAAUAUUGCACAAUGGGCGCAAGCCUGAUGCAGCCAUGCCGCGUGUAUGAAGAAGGCCUUCGGGUUGUAAAGUACUUUCAGCGGGGAGGAAGGUGUUGAGGUUAAUAACCUCAGCAAUUGACGUUACCCGCAGAAGAAGCACCGGCUAACUCCGUGCCAGCAGCCGCCGUAA